rnacentral:tRNA from 1 species
GCCGGGAUGGUAGAGUGGACAAUUACACUACUCUGUAAAAGUAGCGCCCAACGGCUUCGUAGGUUCGAAUCCUACUCCCGGCA